rnacentral:rRNA from 1 species
GAUGAACGCUGGCGGAAUGCUUAACACAUGCAAGUCUACUUGAACGGCGGUUUGGGUGGCGGACGGGUGAGUAACGCGUAGGGAACUUGCCUCACAGUUAGGGACAACAUUUGGAAACGUAUGCUAAUACCUGAUAUUAUGAUUUCAGGGCAUCCUAGGAUUAUGAAAGCUAUAUGUGCUGUGAGAGAGCUUUGCGUCCCAUUGGCUAGUUGGAGGGGUAACGGCUCACCAAGGCGAUGAUGGGUAGCCGGCCUGGGAGGGUGAACGGCCACAAGGGGACUGAGACACGGCCCUUACUCCUACGGGAGGCAGCAGUGGGGAAUAUUGGACAAUGGACCAAAAGUCUGAUCCAGCAAUUCUGUGUGCACGAUGACGUUUUUCGGAAUGUAAAGUGCUUUCAGUUGGGAAGAAAAAAAUGACGGUACCAACAGAAGAAGUGACGGCUAAAUACGUG